AGAUGUGAGGGCUAUCUGGCUGCGACAUCUGUCAACCCCAUUGAUCGCCAAGGUUGAUUGGGCUGAUCUGGCUGGCUAGGUGGGUGUUCCCUUCCUCCCUCACUGCUCCAUGUGCAACCCUCCCGAAGGCCUUCCCCAAAUAGAGACAGACAAGUCUUCUGUCUAGAGUAUAGCUGCACUCCCCUGCUAGAACCUCCAAACAAGCUCUCAAGAAAUCUUGAACAUCCUCUGUAGUCUUAGGUGCUUUAGCUUUGGUUUUGGUUUGGGUCUUGGUCUCAGUUUGAGAUAAAGGUGCUU
rnacentral:snRNA from 1 species